GAGUGAAGCAAAAAGACUUUUAACUUUCCUUUAAUGUGUUUUCACCUCAGACCACACCCAGAAUAGUUUUCAUGGUGCUGAGGUUUAAGAGAUCCAGUCCAGGUCCAGGGACCACAACCCAACAAACAUCUAGGUCACACACACACACACACACACACACACACACACACACACACACACACACACACACACACAUCUGUAAGUGUUUUUUGGCAAAAUAAGGAGAGAUUAGGACAGAACAGCUCAGCCAACCCACACACAAACACACACACACACACACACACACACACACACACACACACACACACACACACACACACACACAGUGCAGGUCUGUAAUCAGCAGCAGGGCUCUCCUCCUCGGCUGAUUAAAGGCCAUAAAUGAAUCUGAUUUAACGAUCAGAAUCUGCUGCUUCACCAACCAAAGUCAGAAGAUGAUAAAGAAACUGUGGACUGGAGAUCAUGAGAGAGAAAAGAUUACACUGUCACUGAAUUAUCCAACAAAUCUAAUUUUCCAAACACCUGCAGGAGCGACAGGUAAAAUGUGAUGUUUGAGGAUUGUUCUAUAAAACCACUACCUCAGAUAAUCCUUUCCAAGACGGGAAAAUAAAGUCUUUGGCUGUGGUGUUGUGGAGCAUUUUUUCUUUAAUGUUCACAGCAGGGCAUUUUUCUUCAUGGAGGUAAAAACUUUUAAAAAGAUGUUUGUGUGGGGUUUCUUCUGUUAGCCCUGCCCACAUGGAUCAAAAAAAUCUAAAUUAAGGUUUAUUGCCAACCCGAUUUAUUUGAUGUACUCCAAUCUUUUCUGUUGACUGAAGAUGCUGGUGCCUGCCCCAUCUUGGUAAUUUUGGACCUUACAGCUGCCUUAGACACUGUGGAUCUCAGUAUAAAUAGAGAGGCUGGAGAAGUGGGUGGGGAUAAUGUGAUGUGGUCUUUGAUUGGUUUAGUUCUUACAGAAUGUGUCGCUGCAUAAGUGGCAGUUUAACUCAAGGGUUCAGUUCUUUGUCCAGCUCCUUUUUCCAUUUACAUGCUCCACCUUGGCAGUAUCAGUCAUUAAUAAAAUGUCAUAUUAUGAUCAUUGUUAUGCCGAUGACAAUGCAAUUGUAUGUCCCAGUCAGUCAUGGUGACGAAUCAAGCAUAUCAAGCCUUGGAGAAAUAAACAUCUUGGAUGUCUGACAAUAAAUCAGAAGUUAUUGUUUCAGCCCCUAAAUAAAAUGAAAUGUAAUCUUUUCAAAUCUGAUUAGUGAUCUAUAAUUUGUCAAUCCAGAAAAGAAAUACAGCAAAGGUAAAGUCUGAAAUUUCUGCAAAUUUCUGCAUUGUAAUUUCUCUACACAUGCCUCAGUCAGAUAUCAAUCCAGCGAGUUUAAAAUGCAGCAUCUCUGCUAUAACUUAAGUCAACAUAUGUGUCCAUAUCACUCCUGUUUUAGCAGACCUACACUGGUUAGCAGCUGUUUUUAACAGAAAAAACAUUUGUUCUAUGGUUUUAUAUUAUUUCAACACUAAUUUUUAAAAUUUGUAUGCCUCUACAUUUAAUUCUUUGGAUGCUUCCAUGUUUAGCUUUUUAUUUUUAUUUAUUUAUUUUUUUUUUUACUUGCACACCUUAUAGUAAUCUGUAACCUGCAAAAGUACAAAAGUAAAUUAUGAUUAUUAUAAUUACUAUUUCAUUUUCAACUAUUUUAAUUAUUAUUGAAAUAUUCACUCUCGUACACUUUGCUUAAAAAACAGACCCAAAGUUGUUUUUAUCACACAAGUGAAACUUGACCAUGGGGUUUUGUGGAGAUCGAGUCCCUGGCAGACAGCCUCUAGUGGUAACUGUAGGAAAUGCAGUGUUUUUUUUACUUUCACAGAGGCUUCAUUCUGCAACAGUGGAGGCUGCUGCUUGAACUAAACCCACAGAAAUGCUUUUUUAAACUACACUGAAGCAGUCUGUUCACUGUGAUGCCCCUGAUUUCUCUCACCUCUUAACUUGUCUGUCCAGCUUUUAAAAGCCACCUGCAGCCUUUAACACUUUGUCUUCUUCCUGCUUUAAACCCCACACACACACACACACACACACACACACACACACACACACACACACACACAGGGAUGGACAUAUUUACCUCACUAAACCACUAACACACAUAUUUUCUCAAGCUGAUGAACCCUGACCUUACCCUGCUGUUUGUCCUUCUCUCAAGCAAACACACACUUACACACAUGCACACUCUCUCUUUCUCUUUCUCUCUCUCUCUCUCUCUCACACACACACACACACACACACACACACACACACACACACACACACACACACACACACACACACACACUCUGACAGAGUUCUUGGAGGUUUGGGCAAGUCGUACCACCAUGCUGCCGUCAGAUUCUCAGAUAGCCUGUAAUGAGACGGCAGGCAGAGCCAAGAUGGCCGCUACUGUGUCAUUAGCAGUGGAAAUGUGGUCAUUAUUAGAGAUGGAAUAUCAAUACGAGCAGCAGUGACUUCAUACAAAGCAGUCAGCUGAUCUGGCACACAGGAAGCAGCAGAGAUGUGAAACCCUGAGACAACGGCUCAUGCUGAAAAGUAUCUCAAACUCCAUCACAGAGUUUUUGUUUAUCUUCAAAAACUAAGAUUCUCAUUCAGAGCGACACAGACAUCAAACCUUGUGACUUCAGUCUAGUAUUUCAUUUCCUUUUCAGUCCACAGCUGGAAAACAAGAUAAAAAACCUUUCUCUUUAUAAGAGUUAGGAGUUUAAUAUUGUCAUGUGUUUAUAUGAAGCACAUACGGAGUCAAUACUGGAUGAGCAACUGUUUUCUCAGUUGACAGCUGCCCUUAUUGGUAGAGGUGGAGCGGUCAUCCAACAACUGGCAACUGGUGGUUCAACCUACCCCAUCCCUGGUCUGUCUGUUUUAUCUUGGGCAAGACACUUCACUCACCUUGCUCCCAGUGUGUUUCCUCCACUGAUGAAUCAUUUCCAUCAGUCUGCCCCAGAGCAGCUGUGACUACAAAGGUAGUUUACCACCACCAGGAUGUGACUGUGUGAGUGAAUGAAUGAUGUAUCCAAUGUAAAGCACUUUAAGGGUCUCUGAUAAAGUGCUAUAUAAAAUCUAAAGAAUUAUUAUUAUUAUUAUCAUUAUUAAUACAGGUGGUGCCUUUUGUUGUAUCAAAUAUUGUCACAUCACAUCAUUAUCACAUUGUUUUAGAUGUGUUACAAUGUAAAAGAAAAGUCUCAUUUUGAGGUCAUUAAGACACAUCUCCUCUGGUGAAUUUGUGUGCCAUCAUUUAUGCCAAUAAUGAACUGUCAUGAAGUACAAAGUCACAGUGUGCAACCAAGAUUUAAUUGAACACAGAAUAUUUAAUAAGCUUUCCAAUAAUUUUUUAACGAAAUGCAAAAAUAUUUCAGAAAUUCAAAAAAGUUUAAAGAAAACAGAAAUAUUCCAGGAAAUCUGUAUAUAUCUUAUGACAGGUGACAAAGAUUUCACUUAGGGAAAAAAAAUCACAAAUUACAAAAAUAUUUCACUGACAAAAAAACUUCUAGAAAACAACACAAAAAAUAAAUUACUUUGAGCAAAGAAUCUGCGCUGCUGUGCACAGCUGUAAAAAUGACCCCAUCCAGGAGGUCAUGAUUGAGUUCUGACACUUUCUAACAGUUUACUGAUUCAAAGUCACUUCCUGAAGAUGAUCAAAACCACCAAACUACAACCAUAACCACAAACCAUCACCCUCACUUUAAACUAACGACAGCCUAAACCCAAACCAAGUCCAAACCCUGAAAUUUACGGAUUUAUGCAGCCAGAGCUUGAAUUUGGUCCCUUAAGUCAGACGGAGUAAAAACAUUUUUGUCCCCAACAGGAAACUAAACAUACUUGUACACACAAAGAGAGAAACACAUACUGCAGAGGAUAAUUGUCGGGAGGAAAGCACGUCGAGAAUGUCUGAGUUUGGAAUAACGGUGUCAGGAAAGGUGCCACCUCACCACUGUUUACCCUCUGAGUAUGUGUGUGUGUGUGUCCAUGUUUUCUAGUGUUCACACUUGCUUACAUCUGCUUCUGUUUGUGUAUGCAUUCCAGUAGAAAGUGUGUGUGUGUGUGUGUGUUUAUCUGUGUUUGUCCAGUAUAAAGCUCUGACUGGGGCAGACUGGUAAAUUGGUCACUCAGAGGGAACAGAUGUGGCCAAGAAUGCGUCUUUUUGUUGCUUUGUGUUUGGUGUGUGAGGAGGAGGAACAAUGUUAUAAGAAGUGGCACAAGAUGAAGUUCCUGCUUUAAACUUACUGAUUUUAGACACACUGUUAUUUUAACUCUACAACACCUGUCCAGGUGAGCAGGUUCUUAGAGAACUAGUUUGAUUCUUGGAUACAAAUAAUUUGCACUUUUUUGUCUGUGAUGCUGCUGUGACAAAAAUUUUUUUCUCCAUGGGGGAUCAAUAAAGGAAUAUUCUAUUCUAUUCUAUUCUAAUGUGAAUGACAACCAAAGAGUCGAAUAAUGAUGGACUGAAGACAGGAGUGCUCCAAGAUGCUGUCUGAAAUGAUAGAAUAUUUUUGUGUUUACGGUAUCAGCCCUAAAAUUAGAAAGAUUCAACUUAUUAUCCUACUGCAAAAUCCAUUCACUUAGUGAGACAGGAAACUUUCUUAUGAUAAACUCACAAGUGUCCUGCAGUUACUAAAUGAGCCGGAUCUCCCAGACUUCUCAAGAUGAGUGCCUUGGCUCACAGAGAAAUGGCAGUAAUGGCAGAUCUGAGCACACCUUAGGUGUAUUUAAUGGCCAAUGAUGCAAGCGCUUAGGUGACAAGACUCUCAAGUUAGCACAGUACUACUGUUUGUCACAGUGAGCCCAGUGAUAGUCAACUGAAAGGGAUGAAAAGUCACCCUCUUUGAUUGGUAACUUCAGCUGAACGCCACUUUUGAAAGCUUUGUAACUAAUAUAAACAAACUUGUCAGAAAAAGUGAACACUUGGACAUGGAACAGCUUUAUAGGAUGUAAAAAAUUACACUUUCCAUGUCUUAGAAACAUUCAGUGGACGAUUAUUAAGAUUUUUGAAGUUGUUUUGAAGGAGGCGUUUUGAAGUCAUUACAUUUCUUGUUUUCUCUCCAUUAAAAUUUAGUUUCCUUCCACUAACAAGAAAAGCAGAAUAUUUUCACUUCAAAGCUUCAGAUUACAUCCAAUUUUACUAAUUAACUGACUGAAGUAUUGUUUACCAGCUGCUGAUGCACUCACAUACAAAAGCUCAAACACACCUACAAACCCAGACUCCUUUAGGAUCACAGUUAAGUCAUUGAUCAAAAGAGGAAGGAAGGUUUUUACUUUCUUACAAGACAAGCCACUGCAUUCAAAUUACCCCUGUGGUUGCCAUGGCGCCUGCCUCUGUUUACUGUCUGUUGUUGCUCAUUAGUUUGUCUGUGUGAGUCACUAACAGGUGAUACUUACAGGUCAGGUGACACACCAGUCAGUCUGAGAAGUGACACAGACAAUAACUCUGUAUUUACAUCUUUACUUCUGGUUCUAAGUCUGAAACUAAACACCAAUUACGACUGAAUUUACACCUCAGCCCAGACUUCAGCCCCUCAGCCCCCCCCAGACACACACACACACACACACACACACACACACACACACACACACACACACACACACACACACACACACACACACACACACACACACACACACACACACACACACAAACCUCUCCCCGUGUUUCACGAUAAACUCUUCUGUCUCAGUGUCUGUUUUCAGGCCCAAAUCCUGGCAGAGCUUUCUCCACCGCUCUAAAGGUCCUUACACUACGGGAAUGAUGGAAAUUUACAAUGCGAAACUACGAAAUAUUUGGAGGCAAAUUUUGAUGUGCCUGACUAUACACAUCAAGCGCGAUGCAAUUUUGCAACUUUCUGGGGGGAAAAAGACACAUCCCCGGUGGAAGCGAGAAGACUGACACAACAGCAGACUGACUGUUUUUCAGUUCUGAUUAGACACUAGUGUUGAGAUGUCUGUCUGUCAUUAUAGCAUGUACUGAGUCAGGGCCAGUACCAGAUAAGCACAUUAAACUAUAAUCCAUAAACGUAAGGUAACAACUGAGACCUAAUGGCGCUGUGACAGCAACGCCAUUGAGUUUGAGACAGUGAAAAUACAUAUGGUAUGUUUUAUCUGAAUAGGUUAGGUUAUGAGCUAAAGUUACUUAGCACAGAUGAAAGUUAAAACAAAGACAUUUAGCAAACUGUUAAAGCAAACAAAUUAUCGUCAUAUGAGAAAUCUGACACUAUGACUCUCCACAAGUUGUCCUUCAGGUCGUUAUCUUUGUAAUAUUUGUGUUUUUUUUAAUCAAAAAAGCACUCAGUUCUCCGACACAUAAAAAAUCAGGCGGUCGGCCAUGUUGGAUAUACUGGUGGAUCUGACGUUGCAACAACACGUAAUCUGAUUGGUCAUAAGUGGCACACAAUAUGUGAAACUUUAGAAAAAUCAACCGUGAUACGAAAAAAUAAAUGCUGCAGUAUCGCAGGACAGGAAAACGUCACUGAUGUAAACACUUGUAUUGACAGGAUACAGGUUUGGAAAAAAAAAAUUGUCAUCUGAAAUAAUUGCAUGAAAAAAACGCUCUCAGUGUGUAAGGACCUUAAGGAUGUUUAUUCGAGUUAGAUUCCUCGCUUCCUCACAUUUCUUUUUCAUCUCUGUCCUUUCUUCCGUCGGCUUGCAUUUUCUUAGCACUUUUGGCGGUGCGGCAAGCAGAGGUGUUUGUUUUUUGCAUCCUUUUCCAUCACAGCUCCUGUAGCUAAGCUGCUAUGCUACUUUUAGCCUCUCAGAGCUCAGAGGAGGGCCGGGAGAGUGGGCGGGGAAGAGUCGGAACUAUGGAAGAGGGGUGUGUCGCAUACAGCAAGAUGAUUAAAUGGAGAGGCGGAGCAGGAGAUUGACCAAUAGGAGCUGUCCAGGAUGGAUGGCUCCCUUGGUCAAUGUUUUUCGCAGCCCUGCACCUGCUUGGGUGAACAGAUUUUUUCCCAUUCUUUUUGUCUCUUCACUUUGUGGAGAUUGCACUAUAGGACCAUGAUCGCUAUAUGAAUGAGGUUCAUGAUAAUUACCGAUCUCUCCAAUUGUCAAUCAUGCCUUUAAGAAGCUGCAUCCACUUUUUAAAGAAGACUGUGUUUGUUCACCUGGAUUAUGAGGACAUUUAGCCUAGUUUAUUAGUGCCUGAAUUGUUUUGAUUGGCCUAAGUUUUACCUGUGUGUUCCUUCAUAGCUUCUUCUCCUCUGCACUCAAUUUUUUGUCAGUCUCUGUGAAGUCACUGUGAAGAGCUUUAUCUUCAGGGUUUUAAAAACAUACCAGGGCGAAAGUGUUUCUUAGAGAGUCUUUUGUCUCCUGUAAACAGCUGGGCGGCUGACAGUACUCUCUCUCUCUCUCUCUCCCUCUCUCUCUCUGAUGGUUCUUGGACCUCCCUCCUUCCCUCCUCCUUCUCCCUCCCUCCACCGCA